UUGGGGCCACUGAGGGACCCCCUCCUCCCAGCAUAGGCAUCUGAGAACCAGCCCCAUCUCUGCUGCCUCCUGGGACACAGGGACAGAGAGAAAUGGAGGAGAGGAAGACAAGAGAGGGGGAGAGAAAGAUAGACACCUGCUUCACCGCCUGUAAAGCAACCCCCCUGCAGAUACUUCUCCUGUGCUGACUGAUCUGUACCUCACGUGUCUCCAACCCUUCCCCUGUGUCUCCCCCUUCCUCUUUACCCAACCCCCACCCCGUAUGAAAGACAAGCAGCAAAGACAAGCAGGACUAUGGAGACAGCUCAACCUGGCAGAGCACCAGUUUGCAUGCUGAGGCCACUGAGGCUGCAGGUCCAACCCCACACCACUGUCUGCACUCUUUCUCUCUCACACAUAAUAAAUACACAAAUGGA